AUCCCUAAGCCUGGCACAGCCGCAGCCAGUUGUUCCUAAGACUGCGAACAGAUCACGUGAUUCGUGAAAUGUUUUGGAUAGCAAGAUGCUGGUCCAGCAGACGAAGAUGGUCCCUCCAGAUGGAGGAUGGGGUUGGGUGGUUGUCAUAGGAGUCAGUAUAGUUAAUUUAUGUACAAGAUCAAUAGAAACAUCAUUUGGACUUCUUUUCGGAGAAAUUUUAUUGGAAUUGGAUGUUGGAACGACGGGAGCCGCGGUUAUUAUGAGUACAUUGGAUGCCCUCAUUAAUUUCUCCGGUUUGUUCGUUGGCCCGUUGAUCAAAGCUUUGUCUUAUCGGAAGGUUUCUUUGCUGGGAGCCGUUCUGGUUAGUUUGGGUUUGAUCGCAACGUUCCCGGCGAGAAGUAUGACGCACAUCCUAGCAACUUACAGUAUUAUUAAUGGUAUAGGGGUCGGUUUGACCGCCUCCGCUACGUUUGUCGCGUUAAAUCACUAUUUUGUUAAAAAGAGGGGCCAAGCGGUUGGCUAUUCCCUCGCCGGCACUGCCUUUGGGAUGAUGCUGAUGCCACACGCGGUUCGAAUCCUUCUCGAAAACUACAGUUUUCCCGGGGCUAUGUUGAUACUCGGGGGAGUGGCUAUGCAUGGUCUCGUCGGGUCUGUUAUGUUGGAACCAGCCGAAAAUCAUUUUAAACCCGAGGUCAAAGAUGAAGAGGAAGGCAUUUAUCAUCAGCUGCAAGGAAUUUCUUUCUACUUUUCGUCGAGCGAGGAAAUGGAGACGAUAAAAGAAACAGACGACGAAGAAACUGAACAACAAGAAGAUCAAACUUUAAUAAACGGCAACAUAAUAAUAAAAACUCUCCAAGAUCUUGAAAAACAACACAUGAACAUUCCGAAUUUAACUAGAAAGUCAACGUUUCCUCGUAAUUUUUCGACGAUGAGCUUUGUUAGCCGAAAACGUAAAGAUUCGGUUGGUUCAAUCGCCUCAAGUAUAUCUAGGCUUGAUUUUACCGGAUCAAGUCUUUUAUUAAAUUUACAGACUGAUAAUAAUGAACGUAAAACGAGUGCAUCGGAUGGUUUGCAUAUGAGACGAAAUAUGAGCUACCCCGGUGUGCAAUUAAAUCCGCAUCAAAAAAUAAUGAAGGAGUUACCACAUCCGGCACCGCUUUCGAUCGCCAAAAAAACUGAAGAGACAUUUUGGCAAAAAAUAAUCAAGUUUAUGGACUUUGAUUUAUUGAAAGAUCCGAUUUACUUGAAUUUAGUUUUUGGUCUCUCCAUUUUUUACGUCGCCGAGCAAAAUUUUAAAAUGGUUACGCCGUUUUUCUUCAUGAAUCUACUUUAUACUAAGACCAACAUAGCCAUAUUUUUAUCGAUCCAGGCGAUCACAGACAUCAUUGCUCGAUUGGUACUCCCUCCAAUUUGUGAUAGACUGACCAUAUCCAAAAGGACGUUAUUUAUGACCGCCAUAUUUUUACUUGGGAUUUGUAGAUCAGCUGAAUGGAGCCAAACCGAAUAUAGUCUUGGCCGAACAAACGGCGUACAUGAGCAUCGUUGUAUGGCUUGGAAUUUGCGGAUUUGUUAGAGGAGCUGCUCUUAUCAAUUUUACCAUCACUAUUUCUGAAUACUCCUCAUUGGAAAAAUUACCAGCAGCUUUUGGAUUACAUAUGGUUGGAAAGGGACUUUUUGUGGUUGCAUUAGGACCGUUAUUAGGUGUGAUUAGAGAUCAAACAAACAGUUAUUCAAUGUGUUUACAUUCGCAGACAUUUUUAAUAAUGCUCUGCUGUACGGCGUGGUGUAUUGAGUACUUAAUUAUCUGGUUCAAAACGAGAAAAAACAGGGAUUCCGACUCUGAUACUACAACUUAAAAACUAUAAAGUAGCACACGCCAUUUUAAAUGAAAGUCCAAGUAUUAAACAUCUAAAUUAUUAAUCUUGACCUUUUUGGUUCCAUUACAUUAUGAUUAAUUAAUGUUAUAUUGUAUUUGUGGAACCUACUUACUUACGAAAAAAAUGAUGAAAAGAAAAUUAGAUGGUACAACGUAGAAAAAAGUAAAUUUCCUUGUUUUCCCUAAGAGUUUUUGUCGUAUGUCUUUAAACCAAGCAGUUUGUUCUUACUUCCGUUGACGUAGCCUUGCGUUUAUACCGUUCUUUAAGUGCAAGAGUCGACAUUACACGAUACACUUUCAGUGUGAUAUUAGUGGUAUAAGACUGAAUCUAUACGCGUGUGAAUGAAUGACCGUGAAAAUAUCUUAAAAAAAAUUGCUAUGAAUCUGUACAUAGAUGAUUGUAACUUAGGUUUACGUCUGCUAAAUGAUGUAUUAGCUAAUGAUGGUUUUAUAAAUAAAACAAUUAUAAACUUA